AUUAGCAUGCCUAAAAUCAGCAGCCGCCCCUCUGCACAGCUCCGCGAGCAGUCAACAGCAGUCUGCAUGGACAGGAUGUUGUGGUUGUGCUGGUAACGUGCACUUCACACCGACAGGCGAGAAUGGAGACACCAUGACGUAGAGACAUGGCUGACCAAGACCAGACGGAGAGCACACAUUGCACCUGUUUUAAGGUCUCUGCACCGGCUGACUCCUUGGACCAAGAGAUUAUGCCCCCAGCAUCUGGAAUAGCCUGCCAAAGAACCUGAGGGGGGCCGAAACUGUGGCCAAAUAUAAAAAAAAGAUAUUAAAACAUAUUUUUACUAAAACAUACUUUUCUACUAAAAGUAUAUAAAACAUACUUUUCCUUUGGCUGCUGUUUGUCAUUGUUUCGUUUUUUUAUCUUGUGUUUGUUGUGUCGUAAAUAUUUCAGCGUUUAUUUUCCUUGUUUUUUUGUGCUUUUUUCCCCCUGCAAAGCACAUUGCAUUGCAUCCCAUGUCUUAAAUGUGCUGUAUAAAUAAAUCUGGAUUUGAUU